UUUCAGUUGAACCAAAUUUUUUCUUCCCUCAAGCCUAUAUUUCUGAUCAGGUUAACUGCUUCCAAGUCUGCUCAUAUAUUGAUAUACUGUUUUUAUUUAUUUUUUUUUUUAAAUUCUACCAAAGCAUCUUCUUUGGAACCUCAACCCCAUUAAAAAUACUAAAUUUCUUCAUGUAACAAUAUCAGUAAUAGUUGAAUUUUGCAGGAUAAGGUUAAAUACUUUGGAUAACCAUGAAAUGAUGCCCCUAGUCUCAAACCUUGCAAUCUCCAUUGCCCUGUCUCUUAAUCGUGCAAUCACAUUCAUUUUCUGUGAGGAACAACCAAAACGUGUUGCGGUUUUUAAAAUGUUCCAAAUUUUCUGUAUUGAUUACAGAAAAUUUUCGAGAUGACAUGAAUGUAGAGGCUCCCUCCUUCCUCCAAUAUUAAAAUUAUAAUGGUCGCACAGUUUUUAGACAGGGCAAUGGAGAUUGCCAGGUUUGGAACUUGGGGCCUCAAAUAAAGUGUGAAGCCUCGUGUCUUUCAAGUGAUAUUACUAAUUUUUAAUUUUUGAAUUGGUUUUAAUUUCACAUCGAAUUGACUUACUUUAUAUGGGAGGAGUUAAAUAGACCAGAAGAACUUGCGAAUUUUAAGGUAAGUUUUAUUUAUUUGUAAAUUCUUACUUGAUGACAGAGGAACGAUUGAAGGAACUUUUUUGGGAUGGACAGUACUGGAUGCCGAAGAAAAAGAAAUGAUCGAUGACCUUAUUAUCCAGUCAGACAAGUUACAAUUUUACAAACCUCUGAUGGAUGCUCUGCGACAGUGGGAGCUUGUGCAAGACACCCAAGGUGCUCCAGGUUGCAGGCGUGGCUUGGUUUCAUUCCCUUGUGACCCGCAAGUUAAAAAAGAACUUACUCGGGUCAUUUUCACUUUGGAAAACAUACUAGAGAAAAUCCAUCAAGAAAACAGAGCUGUCGUUUCGUCAAAAAUGUAUGCUGUUCCUCUUCUGUUGCCAACGAUUCUGACAUCAUGACCCCUGAAAGGUAAUAUUCUUGGGAUGAGGAAGUAAGCAUCCUUUUUGUAGGAAGAAUUUCAUAAGGUAGGAAAGGGUCAGACUCUUAUACCUGAUAACAAGGAUCGAAUUUGUAGUCGAUGUACAAACGCAAAGUUUAGGGAA
rnacentral:lncRNA from 1 species